rnacentral:rRNA from 1 species
GCGUCGAGCGGCGGACGGGUGAGUAAUGCCUAGGAAAUUGCCCUGAUGUGGGGGAUAACCAUUGGAAACGAUGGCUAAUACCGCAUGAUGCCUACGGGCCAAAGAGGGGGACCUUCGGGCCUCUCGCGUCAGGAUAUGCCUAGGUGGGAUUAGCUAGUUGGUGAGGUAAGGGCUCACCAAGGCGACGAUCCCUAGCUGGUCUGAGAGGAUGAUCAGCCACACUGGAACUGAGACACGGUCCAGACUCCUACGGGAGGCAGCAGUGGGGAAUAUUGCACAAUGGGCGCAAGCCUGAUGCAGCCAUGCCGCGUGUGUGAAGAAGGCCUUCGGGUUGUAAAGCACUUUCAGUCGUGAGGAAGGUAGUGUAGUUAAUAGCUGCAUUAUUUGACGUUAGCGACAGAAGAAGCACCGGCUAACUCCGUGCCAGCAGCCGCGGUAAUACGGAGGGUGCGAGCGUUAAUCGGAAUUACUGGGCGUAAAGCGCAUGCAGGUGGUUUGUUAAGUCAGAUGUGAAAGCCCGGGGCUCAACCUCGGAAUUGCAUUUGAAACUGGCAGACUAGAGUACUGUAGAGGGGGGUAGAAUUUCAGGUGUAGCGGUGAAAUGCGUAGAGAUCUGAAGGAAUACCGGUGGCGAAGGCGGCCCCCUGGACAGAUACUGACACUCAGAUGCGAAAGCGUGGGGAGCAAACAGGAUUAGAUACCCUGGUAGUCCACGCCGUAAACGAUGUCUACUUGGAGGUUGUGGCCUUGAGCCGUGGCUUUCGGAGCUAACGCGUUAAGUAGACCGCCUGGGGAGUACGGUCGCAAGAUUAAAACUCAAAUGAAUUGACGGGGGCCCGCACAAGCGGUGGAGCAUGUGGUUUAAUUCGAUGCAACGCGAAGAACCUUACCUACUCUUGACAUCCAGAGAACUUUCCAGAGAUGGAUUGGUGCCUUCGGGAACUUUGAGACAGGUGCUGCAUGGCUGUCGUCAGCUCGUGUUGUGAAAUGUUGGGUUAAGUCCCGCAACGAGCGCAACCCUUAUCCUUGUUUGCCAGCGAGUAAUGUCGGGAACUCCAGGGAGACUGCCGGUGAUAAACCGGAGGAAGGUGGGGACGACGUCAAGUCAUCAUGGCCCUUACGAGUAGGGCUACACACGUGCUACAAUGGCGCAUACAGAGGGCAGCCAACUUGCGAAAGUGAGCGAAUCCCAAAAAGUGCGUCGUAGUCCGGAUUGGAGUCUGCAACUCGACUCCAUGAAGUCGGAAUCGCUAGUAAUCGUGGAUCAGAAUGCCACGGUGAAUACGUUCCCGGGCCUU